AUUGAACGCUGGCGGCAGGCCUAACACAUGCAAGUCUGGCGCGCGGCGGACGGGUGAGUAAUGUAUGGGGAUCUUCCUGAUGGCGGGGGAUAACUACUGGAAACGGUAGCUAAUACCGCAUACCAUCAGAUGAACUCAUAUGGGAUUAGCUCGUAGGUGAGGUAACGGCUCACCUAGGCGACGAUCCCUAGCUGGUCUGAGAGGAUGAUCAGCAAAACUGGAAGUGAGGCAGGGCCCAGAGUCCUGCGGGGGGGAGCAGUGGGGAAUAUUGCGCAAUGGGCACAAGCCUGGUGCAGCCAUGCCGCGGGUAUGAGGAAGGCCUUCGGGUUGUAGAGUACUUUCAGAAGGGAGGCGUUACCGACAGAGGGAGCACCGGCUAACUCCGUGCCAACAGCCGCGGUAAUAC
rnacentral:rRNA from 1 species